rnacentral:sRNA from 1 species
AGCCUGAGGAAGAGGGCGGCGACGGUGGUGGUGACUGAGCGGAGUCUGGUGACAGGAUGGCUGGGCACAGAAAGGAAUCCCCCUCUAAAAUGAAGAUUGUUCUAUAUCCAGUUGGGGAACUAUACCGAGGAUAUAUGAGCAAUUUAAUCCAGACCAUAAAAAUAUGACAGUGAGGACUUCUAAUAAUGAAGGAAAGUGAAGAUAUCAAAGAUUAUAAUUCAAAAGCACACAUUUACCUGAUGAAACUGAAGGCUGUUGUAUAUCUCUGUAACGUACACCUAAUAGUUUGAAUUGGUGUUGGUAUUAGGAGAUCUGCACAUCCCACACCGGUGCAACAGUUUGCCAGCUAAAUUCAAAAAACUCCUGGUGCCAGGAAAAAUUCAGCACAUUCUCUGCACAGGAAACCUUUGCACCAAAGAGAGUUAUGACUAUCUCAAGACUCUGGCUGG